UAGGGAAUCUUCCACGAUGGACGCAAGUCUGAUGGAGCAACGCCGCGUGAGUGAAGAAGGUUUUCGGAUCGUAAAGCUCUGUUGUUGGUGAAGAAGGAUAGAGGCAGUAACUGGUCUUUAUUUGACGGUAAUCAACCAGAAAGUCACGGCUAGCUACGUGCCAGCAGCCGCGGUAAUACGUAGGUGGCAAGCGUUGUCCGGAUUUAUUGGGCGUAAAGCNAGCGCAGGCGGAAUGAUAAGUCUGAUGUGAAAGCCCACGGCUCAACCGUGGAACUGGCAUCGGAAACUGUCAUUCUUGAGUGCAAGAAGA
rnacentral:rRNA from 1 species